UACGUAGGGUGCAAGCGUUAAGUCGGAAUUACUGGGCGUAAAGCGUGCGCAGGCGGUUUGUAAGUCUGACGUGAAAUCCCCGGGCUCAACCUGGGAAUUGCGUUGGAGACUGCAAGGCUAGAAUCUGGCAGAGGGGGGUAGAAUUCCGCGUGUAGCAGUGAAAUGCGUAGAUAUGCGGAGGAACACCGAUGGCGAAGGCAGUCCCCUGGACCUGUACUGACGCUCAUGCACGAA
rnacentral:rRNA from 1 species